GCGAGUAUAGCAUAAUGGUAGUGCAACAUCCUUCCAAGUUGAAGAUGAGGGUUCGAUUCCCUCUACUCGCUCCA
rnacentral:tRNA from 1 species